UGCGUAUCCCGAAAAUACGAAACGUUCGUCGAAGUGCUCGCAGUGUGUACAGUGACAAAUUUGUACCCGGAUUUUCCUCGACGAUCGCGGCCUUUCGCGAGCGACAAAACGCUGCGCGUCGCGUCUCGCGUCGCAGUUUGUGACCGCGUUUGUCUCCAACGCCGCGAGUUUGCCCGUCGUUUCGCGUUCGUUUCGAGCCCGCCGAUCCCUCGUAUGUACGUGCUCCUCGCUCGUUCCCUUCGGGCGUACGCGUUAAUCUUUCCUCGUCGCGUGUUUACCGACCGAGUGCUCGACCAUCUCGUCUUUUUCCCUUUUUCUCUCUUUUUUUUUUUUUUUUGCUAUACGCGUUGUGCGCGAGGCUGGUGCCCCGGGUUCGUUCCCGCGGCUCCCGGAUCCAUCUAUCUCUCUCUCUCUUUCUCUCUCCGUACCCUGUGUCCUCGCCGUCGACGGAUUCGUCAUCGUCUCGUCAUCGCCUCGGCUGCCUCGGUGUUGACAGUGAUAUUAUGUGAUCGAGCCUUUGGUCUUGCCGCAUAGUUGAGUGCUCCAAGAGUCCAGCAGUGCGAGAAGCGUCGUCGAGUAACCGGCGUCUCGAGAGAGACGAGACGGGGACCCCGAAAAUAACGGACCUAUUAAUAGGGCUAUCUCCACUCUCGGCGCCGCUCCGCGUGUGAACUUGAAGAUAGCGGGCCGACGGAUUCGCUCCGAGAGGAGGGCUUACCGCUGGCGCCGGGAGAGGGGAAAUUCUCGGCCACUGAGGUCCGGACGCUCGGCAACUUGGAUGGGAUCAACGGCGAGAAGAAGGAAACACGGAGGCGGCAGCACGCAGAGGGUAUCGAGAGAGAAACCGUCGAUCGGUCGCGUAAAAGGCCGAUGAAGGAGAGAAGAAGAAGAACUCCGUUCGAUCUUGUCGGAAGCGCGCGACCCCGAGAGUGUUUCCCUUCUCGGAUCUCGACAAUUUUUCACGUGCGUGUGGCGAAUAUUUUCCGAAGUCUCCCAGUCUCUCUCUCUCUCUCUCUCUCUCUUUCUUUCCCCUUCCGCAAACGCAGGGCGUACAAUGAUUGAAAUGAUGACGAUUGAUUUAUCGUAUUGAUUUAUAUUUAUCGAAGGUAAAGUCAUUGACAAGAAUGUUUAAUGCAUUGUAUAUUAAUGUCUUGUAUAUUUUUUUAACAUUGUCCUUUCGUUAAUGUCGAUUGCCGGUUGUUGGAUAAUUCGAUUACGGUCGCAUUAAUUUCGACGGUUGCCGAAAUUUGGCGGGGCUCGAUCGCCAACGCUGAAGGCGAGCGAUGAAAACGUAGGCGACGUUGAUAGCGCGGUUCCGUCGUGGGAACGAUAACGAGCUCCCGAGCGCGGUGCGGCGGCAACGGGGACGAUAUUAAUAACGGCGAUGACGAGUCGCAGGUGGAAUACAGAGCGCGGGAGGUGCGCGGGUCAACGAGGAAAUUCUCGGGCGCGCGAGGUGCGCCUACCUUGAAUGCUACAGCGGAGGGAACGGGGUGGGACGAAUAGAAGAAGGGUGCGAGAGAGGGAGAGAGAGAGACGCUGAGAGAGAGAGGGGGGCGGUGGUAGGGGUAACCGAGAACGGAACGAAGCGUACCGAGCGAGAACGAAACCGAGGUGCACCAGCGACGCGUCGAGGCCGACAAACGCGGAUCGGAGAAAUAUGCGGACCUUUGUGCAAACAGCUGAACCGGAAGUCGAGCGGACAGCGCGCCGAUAGGCUCGGCCGGCUCUCGUACGACCGACUUCCAAGGCGACGGCGUGUCUCGCGUGUCUUGUCGAUUGCGUCUAGGUCGACCGAAUCGAAAGGCUGCGGAAUCGGACGAAUUUCCAUUUGCCAGACGUUGCCACGCGUUGCGAGAAUCCUUCUUCAUCUUCAUCUUCCUCCCCCGUCUUUUAACGCGUUGAGAAGAUAUACGGUGUACACGAAAUA